UACGGGGGGGGCUAGCGUUGUUCGGAAUUACUGGGCGUAAAGGGCGCGUAGGCGGUCUGCUAAGUUGGAUGUGAAAACUCUGGGCUUAACCCAGAGCCUGCAUUCAAUACUGACAGGCUAGAGUUCUGGAGGGGAUAGCGGAAUUCCUGGUGUAGCGGUGAAAUGCGUAGAUAUCAGGAGGAACACCGGUGGCGAAGGCGGCCUGCUGGGACAUGGCUGACGCUGAGGCGCGACAGCGUGGGGAGCAAACAGG
rnacentral:rRNA from 1 species